UUUUCAUCAAAUGGGAACCUGGUGACCAUUAUUCAGUCAUGCCUUUGUCACCUCAAGGCCAGGCUAUUGUAGGCCACACAUAGUUGAAAUGUUUCAGCUGGUAAUAGAGGAUAUUGUGACCUGCCUACUAAUGAUGCCAGGGUAGUAGCAGUGCUCCACUGUCUGUGUUGUCUUCUUGUUUCACAGGCCAGAACUCCGAAGGAUGGGUGAAAAAUCUGGGCCAGAACUUCGUUUCCCUCCAGACCUGCCAACAUUGGGGUGAGAUGAGCACGUCUGUGGUUCGCCAAGGACAAGAUGGAACCACUGCCUUCUUUCUUCUUGACAAUCACCUGUAGCAGACCUGUAAUAUUGAGAAGGCAGAUGCUUGAUCCCUUUCAAAAGACCUGUGUCGUGGUAUGUCAUAUAAUUACACCUGGGCUCUCUGUGUUUGGAAGUUGAAAAAUAUCUCUUUCUCCAAGUGAUUUCAUAGCAUCUGUUUCAUUUCAGUAUGACAAGCAGCAAGGUACUCAGCUGCAAUCCCCACAGAUUCAUUCAAAGGCACGGGUACGUUUGGGUGCAAUCUUGCAAACUGGCCAUGCUUUCAGAGUAAGAAGGACUUUUAGGAUGGUGUUUCUUAGCUACAGCCAACAGUACAACCUGCAGCCACCAACCAUUCUUUGCAGCCCUAGCAAUCCUCCUGGGAUUUCCAUCUGCUCUAAUCUCAGCCUCCAGGAAGCAAGCAAUUUCUGCAUUUUCUACUGAGAUGUUUUCCACUUGUUGUCAUGUUUUCAAUAUGUGAACACAAUAAAAUAAUAAUCUUGGUCCUCCUUUCCCCUUUU
rnacentral:lncRNA from 1 species